rnacentral:lncRNA from 1 species
CCAUCAAUCAGUUGCCUCCUCCGCCUAUAAAAGGGAGACCCAGAUACGUUAUUCUUUAAGCUCAUUUUUCUUAUCUCAAAACUCUGCUAAAUUCUCCGUUCGAGCACUCCAUUCUUGUUGAGGCAGAGAACUGACUUGAGCGUCGGAGGGUCUUGCCGGAGCAACCCCACCUCCGGUUUAGACUUCCCUUGCAGGUCCUGGCNN